rnacentral:rRNA from 1 species
AGAAUCAACGCUGGCGGCGUGCCUAACACAUGCAAGUCGAACGCGAAAGGGGAGCAAUCCCUGAUUAGAGUGGCAAACGGGUGAGUAACGCGUGGGUGACCUGCCUUCGAGUGGGGGAUAACCUUCCGAAAGGAGGGCUAAUACCGCAUGACAUACCGUGUUGGAUACACGGAUAUCAAAGGCCGGGGAUCGCAAGACCUGGCGCUUGGAGAGGGGCCCGCGUCCGAUUAGCUAGGUUGGUGAGGUAACGCUCACCAAGGCUCGAUCGGUA